GGUGAACGCUGGCGGUAGGCCUAACACAUGCAAGUCGAACGGCCGCACAGUAAGAUCUUUCUCUUACGGGUGGCGAGUGGCGGACGGGUGAGGAAUACAUCGGCAUCUACUUUUUCGUGGGGGAUAACGUAGGGACACUUACGCUAAUACCGCAUACGACCUACGGGUGAAAGCAGGGGAUCUUCGGACCUUGCGCGAUUGAAUGAGCCGAUGUCGGAUUAGCUAGUUGGCGGGGUAAAGGCCCACCAAGGCGACGAUCCGUAGCUGGUCUGAGAGGAUGAUCAGCCACACUGGAACUGAGACACGGUCCAGACUCCUACGGGAGGCAGCAGUGGGGAAUAUUGGACAAUGGGCGCAAGCCUGACCCAGCCAUACCGCGUGGGUGAAGAAGGCCUUCGGGUUGUAAAGCCCUUUUGUUGGGAAAGAAAAGCAGCAGGUUAAUACCCCGCUGUUCUGACGGUACCCAAAGAAUAAGCACCGGCUAACUUCGUG
rnacentral:rRNA from 1 species